GGAAGCAUUCAGCCCCCGAACUCUUUGUGCCAUCAGGGAGGGGUCCUUCUGGGCUUGAGGCAUCUGAAGAGCAUCCCAGAAGUUCAGAUACUGCUCUGGCAGCCUCUGGAGUAGCAGUGGGCAUCCUGGGACCCCCGGUCCGCCUCUGCCCCUUGCCCCCUGGCCUCAGCAGAUUCGUGGUAUUCAAGCUUUGGGAGGGACGGACAAGAGCAGGGGACGGGACGUGCUUGGGAGAGGAGGCAGGGAAAAGGCCAGGCAGGGAUUUGAUAUUGUAAAGAGGCGCCGGUGGGGCUCCACUCUGAACAAUUAACGUGACAACCUGCCUUGGCUGAACUCAGAUGUGAGGAGCGCUGAGAAGAAAGACAGAGGAGCAGGGACUGGCAUCGCAUAGUUGGAAAGGUUCCUAAUGGCGCUGGCAUGGAAAAAAGAUGCAAUUGUUGGCAGGAGGCUUUGCCUUUCUCUGGAUGUUUCAUCUCGCCCAGCGUGGGGAAUUGCUCACCCUUCGGACCGUGUCUUCCUCAGAGACUUCACAGUCUUGUGCUUUGCUGCAGCCUUGAGGCAGGAAAGUGGAUCCACGCCUCCGGCAGCUUCACCCCCCUUCCUGGACUACACGGGUCCCACGAGACUCUAGAGUCAUCCACCACCCCGGAGCGACCACUUCUUUUGGUGAGUUCAGGGAUUCACAUUUACAUCCUGCUUCUCCCCAGUGUUUGCUGCCCACUCCCCCUCCUCCCAGGCACCUUUGUCCCUUGUCACUGGCCAGUCCCGUGGAUGCUCCUGAACGUCCCCUGGGUCAGAGCCCUGCUCCCCACCAGUCCCCUCCAGGGACACGGGGAGGGAUCGGAGCCAGUACUAAUGAUACUGAACUUUGGCCAAGGCAAGGUAAAUAUUGUGAUUUCUCCUAUUCCCCAACUAGGGGUGGUGUUGGGUCCUUGGGGGCGUGGGACUGGCCAGGGAGCGGCAGAGGCCAGAUGUCACGUUGUGGGUUCUGUGCUUGGCCAGAGGUCAUGACGACCUUGUCUCUUGAUUGCAAAACCGCCUGGGCUCUGGGAUGUGCACGGGGCCAACUCCCCCUCUUCCGUCAUGUCAAACUCCUUGUCUCCCAU